GUUCGGAUUGAAGGCUGAAAUUCGCCUUCAUGAAGCCGGAAUUGCUAGUAAUGGCAGGUCAGCAUACUGCCGUGAAUACGUUCCCGGGCCUUGUACACACCGCCCGUCACACCAUGAGAGUUGGGAAUACCCGAAGCCUGUGAGCUAACUUUUAGAGGCAGCAGUCGAAGGUAGAAUCAAUGAUUGGGGUGAAGUCGUAACAAGGUAGC
rnacentral:rRNA from 1 species